rnacentral:misc_RNA from 1 species
GAUGAAUGCAUCAUAAUACGUAGAGGUAGUGCAUUCUAUAGCUUAGCUAUGUGAAGCAAGCAAGACACAUGUCCCGAUUGGGUAGGCUUUGGGUCUAAAAGGUCAAAAGCCUAUGAAUAUGAAAUCCCUUAGCUAUAUUGACAAUGUAUGCUUAGAGUAUUUUUCCAAAAUGUUAUGCUACUUAGCCGUAUAAAAAGCCACAGUCGUGUUAACAUCGUUCAAUACAUAGGUUAUUGUAUAAAAGAUUACACAGCCAUGUUGACUCUGAGACUAUGUUUUCUUGAUGA